rnacentral:rRNA from 1 species
AAGGGUGCGCAGGCGGGACUUUAAGUUGGUGGUGAAAUCUUGAGGCUUAACCUUGAGCUUGCCAUCAAAACUGGAUUUCUUGAAUAUGGUCGAGGGAGGCGGAAUGCGUGGUGUAGCGGUGAAAUGCAUAGAUAUCACGUGGAAGGCCUAUUGCGAAGGCAGCUUCCCAGCCCAUUAUUGACGCUCAUGCACGAAAGCGUGGGGAUCGAACGGGAAUUAGAUACCCCGGUAGUCCACGCAGUAAAC